GACGAACGCUGGCGGCGCGCUUAACACAUGCAAGUCGAGCGAAGCGGCGGACGGGUUAGUCACACGUGAGUAACCUGCCUUAGACAUUGGGAUAGCCUCGGGAAACCGUGAUUAAUACCAAAUGGUCUAAGCUGGACUCGCGUCCCAUUAGCUAGUUGGUGGGUAACGGCCCACCAAGGCGACGAUGGGUAGCCGGCAUGGAAGGGUGAACGGCAACAUUGCAACUGGGAACCGGUCCAAACUCGACGGGAGGCAGCAGUGGGGAAUAUUGCACAAUGGAGGGAACUCUGAGGCAGCGCGGCCGCGUGAACGAAGUAGGCUUUCGAGUCGUAAAGUUCUUUUAUAUGGGAAGCGGUACCAUAAGAAAAAGCCCCGGCUAACUACGUGCCAGCAGCCGCGGUAAUUC
rnacentral:rRNA from 1 species